UACGUAGGGUGCAAGCGUUGUCCGGAAUUAUUGGGCGUAAAGAGCUCGUAGGCGGUUUGUCGCGUCUGCUGUGAAAACUCGGGGCUUAACUCCGGGCCUGCAGUGGGUACGGGCAGACUAGAGUGCGGUAGGGGAGACUGGAAUUCCUGGUGUAGCGGGUGAAAUGCGCAGAUAUCAGGAGGAACACCGGUGGCGAAGGCGGGUCUCUGGGCCGUAACUGACGCUGAGGAGCGAAAGCGUGGGGAGCGAACAGG
rnacentral:rRNA from 1 species